rnacentral:rRNA from 1 species
UACGGAGGGUGCAAGCGUUAUCCGGAUUCACUGGGUUUAAAGGGUGCGUAGGCGGAUAUGUAAGUUAGUGGUGAAAGCUUGCAGCUUAACUGUGUACUUGCCAUUGAAACUGAAAGUCUUGAGUUCGGUUGAUGGGGUCGGAAUGUGUCGUGUAGCGGUGAAAUGCUUAGAUAUCCCGCAGAACACCAAUUGCGAAGGCAGCUGACUAUGCCGUCACUGACGCUGAGGCACGAAAGCGUGGGUAGCGAACAGG